GAUGAACGCUGGCGGCGUGCCUAAUACAUGCAAGUCGAGCGAACGGACGAGAAGCUUGCUUUUCUGAUGUUAGCGGCGGACGGGUGAGUAACACGUGGAUAACCUACCUAUAAGACUGGGAUAACUUCGGGAAACCGGAGCUAAUACCGGAUAAUAUUUUGAACCGCAUGGUUCAAAAGUGAAAGACGGUCUUGCUGUCACUUAUAGAUGGAUCCGCGCUGCAUUAGCUAGUUGGUAAGGUAACGGCUUAACAAGGCAACGAUGCAUAGCCGACCUGAGAGGGUGAUCGGCCACACUGGAACUGAGACACGGUCCAGACUCCUACGGGAGGCAGCAGUAGGGAAUCUUCCGCAAUGGGCGAAAGCCUGACGGAGCAACGCCGCGUGAGUGAUGAAGGUCUUCGGAUCGUAAAACUCUGUUAUUAGGGAAGAACAUAUGUGUAAGUAACUGUGCACAUCUUGACGGUACCUAAUCAGAAAGCCACGGCUAACUACGUA
rnacentral:rRNA from 1 species